UGCAUUGAUCCCCUAAUUUUUGUAUUUUUAGUAGAGACGGGGUUUCACCAUGUUGGCCAGGCUGAUCUCGAACUCCUGACCUCAGGUGAUUCACCCACCUUGGCCUCCCAAAGUGCUAGGAUUACAGGCGUGAGCCACUGCGCCCGGCAUAAACUGGUAGUUUAAUGCAGAAUCUUAUUUUCACUCUUACCAAUAAAAUAGUUUUGCAUACAAAGUUAAGAGUGGACUCUAACAUUUGUGUCUUAACCUUCUAUAGAACUGUCAAGUAAUCCACCUCUGGCUACCAUCCUUAUUCCUCCUCAUGCUCGGAUUCAAGCAGCUGCUUCAACCCCCACAAAUGCCACAGCAGCGUCAGAUGCUAAUACUGGAGACCGUGGACAGACCAAUAAUGCUGCUUCUGCAUCAGCUUCCAACUCCACCUGAACAGUCCCGAGCAGCCAGCUGCACAGGAAAAACCACCAGUUACUUGAGUGUCACUCAGCAACACUGGUCACGUUUGGAAAGAAUAUUAAAAAGAG
rnacentral:lncRNA from 1 species